rnacentral:rRNA from 1 species
GUAUCGUAGAAAGUAAUGACACAACCGAAAGGUAUGCGUGGACUUGGAUUUAAAGAUUUUGAAAAUUUUAACUUGUCUUUGCUUGCAAGGCAAGCGUGGCGUCUACUGCAGCAGCCAGAGUCAUUGAGUGCCCGUGUGCUAAGGAGUAUUUAUUUUCCAAAUUCAUCUAUAUUGCAUGCAACCCUUGGCAAUCAUCCAAGCUAGAUUUGGAGAGCAAUUGUGGAAGGGAGAGAUGUACUGAAGCAAGGGUUGAUCAAACACAUUGGCAAUGGGGCAACUACAGACAUAUGGGAAGAUAAUUGGCUUCCGCGUAAUGAGAUGUUGAGACCUUAUGGAUGCUUGGUCUCUGAUUUGCCGACCUUGGUGUCCGAACUCAUCGACACACCGGCGGCUGCAUGGAACAAACAACGCAUGGAAGUUCUUAUGAUCAUGGAUGUUCCUGUUAUCUUAGGAAUACCGCUGUGCACGAGAAAUAUGGAUGACUUCUGGAGCUAG